GAUGAACGCUAGCGGCAGGCCUAACACAUGCAAGUCGAGGGGUAACUAGAGUGAUAGCAAUAUUACUUUGGCUAGACCGGCGCACGGGUGCGUAACACGUAUGCAACCUACCUUAUACUGGGGAAUAACUUCGAGAAAUCGGCGCUAAUACCCCAUAACAUUGCGAAGAGGCAUCUCUUUGCACUUAAAGCUCCGGCGGUAUAAGAUGGGCAUGCGUCCAAUUAGCUAGUUGGUGAGGUAACGGCUCACCAAGACUACGAUUGGUAGGGGUUCUGAGAGGAUGAUCCCCCACACUGGUACUGAGACGCGGACCAGACGCCUACGGGAGGCAGCAGUGAGGAAUAUUGCGCAAUGGACGAAGGUCUGCCGCAGCCAUGCCGCGUGCAGGAUGCCGGCCCUAUGGGUUGUAAACUGCUUUUGUACGGGAAUAAACCCUUCUACGUGUAGGAGGCUGAAGGUACCGUAAGAAUAAGCACCGGCUAACUCCGUGCCAGCCGCCGCAGUAACAC
rnacentral:rRNA from 1 species